rnacentral:lncRNA from 1 species
CUCUGUAAAAACAACCACCAAAAGGGCGUGAGAACUAUUAACAAUAGUUCCCAGUGGGUAAGCCGCCAGCCUCGGCGAAUUACACCACUAGGCUCGAGAUGUACAGAAUGGAAAUAAAAGCAGUAAUUUGCAUGAUAUAUUUUCAAUGCUAACAAUUCAUAAGCCAAUGUUAACAAAUAAUGAACAUGUAAACAACAUGUGAUCAUAGCAUCAACAGUAAUGAAUCAACUGAAUGAUAGAAGCAUGGCUACUACUAUAAGCAUAAACAUAGCAUAAGUGUGUAAGUAACUACUGUACACUGUAACUGGUAAUUAUUCAUUACUGUCCAAUUUCCUUUAGCAUUUUCCUUUCAUUCACAGGGAUCUACUCAAGGUAGUCCAGCUUGCGCCGCGCCUAAUGGCCCCGUGGUAGUAUACACUCCCCACGGCAAUCCACUUCGGCACCCAAUCCCGCACGGGCGAGCAACUGUCGCGUAGGCCAACUCCGGAGUGCCGGCUUGUAGGGAGCUACCCUCACAAGCGUGUGCGAAUGAGCACGAUGGCAAGCAAGCAAAAUCCACUGUCCACAUACCUCAGUUUUCAUAUUUUCAUUGCAAAGUUCUUACCCUCGAUCCUUUGAUCGGAAUAUCAAUACACAAAUAAGCUAGUAUCCACUAGAUUGUAAACAUGUAUGGGUAAAGCUAAAUCACAUGGCAUUAUAAUAUUUCCAUUAGUAUGGCACUAUCAAUAUAGUCAUGAGCAUGUCAUAGUUCUCUACGUUAGAGUCAAGAGAAUGUCAUUGUUCUCUACUUUAAAGUGCAUCCUACACUUAUUCAUAAGUCAUUCAACUGAAUUGAAUGUAAAUAGAAAUACUCUCAUGUAUAUAUGUUCUCUAUAUCAUAGAAACAUAAUAAACUGAACUCUUAGUUGUUCUACUGAACAAAACAAAAAUACUUAAAUGCAUGAGUACUUUUAUGCAUGAACGCUCAUUCACAUAUGAUAAACGUCAUGAUGACGAGUUCCGAGCCCUUAACAAUCACAUAAGCACAAUAAUAAGACCCUUUCUAUAAUACAUAUAGAACAUAGGGGAGUUUCACUUGCUCUGGUUAGGUCCGACCCACCUCGUACUAAGCUCAAAUCAGCUUACGAGGGUUCCGAAAUCAACUCCACUAGGCCUCAGCCCUGCUGCAAAACGAAGCACGAAAGUCGCAUCGAAGCGAUUACAUAAGACUCCAAUUCGGCAAAAUUCUCAAUUAAUACGAUGUGGAAGUUGAGUUCCCUGUUUAGGCUCAAUAAAUACCUCACGAUAAGCUUCCAAAAUGCC